GAUGCACUCCAAAUAGGUUUAUUAGAAGAGUUUGUAUACCUACACACUAAUCUUCAAACUGCACUGGUACUUCUAUCUGUACAUAUAAUGCCAGUGACUACUUAUUGGAGAAUCGUUUUUUUGACAUGAAGCACGAACAUUUGUGCAAAUAUUUUUAUAUGUGUAUGUAGUGGGAAUUAGUGGCUACUCAUGCAUAUUUUUUUUUGGAGGUGAAAAAAAAUAUUUUUAUUUUUUGCAAUGAAGUUUAAGGACAGGAUGCUGGUAAAAAGUAUGCAUUUUGUAGUUUUUUUUAUUGUUAUCAAAUAUAAUUUUGUUUAGUUCAUGUAACUUGAAUCGUUUGUAAAAUAUGACACUUUCAAUGAUACCCUAAUUAUUUUACGUUAUCCUGAAUAACUCACAAACAAAAGAGAAUCGAGGUCUGAUGUUAAGCAUGGAGGGUCCUUAGGACCUAACAGUACACUACCAGAAAUAUCGACAAAAUCCGUCGUUGGGGGCACUUCUUGUUCGCUUAGCCUGCUAGACCCUUUAUUUAUUUUAUUUAUUUAU